rnacentral:lncRNA from 1 species
UGUAACACCCCGAAAAUGUAAACACUUUAUAUUAGAAUUAUAAAGUGUAAAAUAAACGAGAAUAAGCUAACUAGGAUAAAUAACCCGGUUAGUUAGGAGUUUUGCAAUAACACAUGAAUGAGAUAAAAAGCCUAAAUUAUAAACCAAAUGAAAGUUGAGGGGCUUAUGUUGUUAAAGAAUGAAACUUAAUUACAUAAAACAAAAAAACCAAACUCACUUUUGUGAGGUCUGGUUCGAUCAGAAGCAGGGAAGGGCGACCCCCAUUUCUCCAAAACCCUAACAUUCACAAAAGCCACAAAUUGAAGGCUCAAAUCAUGACCAAAUCGAUUUUCAAGCAUAAAUUAAUGAUCACCUAGUUGAGGAGAUCAUAAGGCAAGGAAUCCGGAACGUCAAGUGGACACGCCAGAGGUGAUGCUCGUGGAAAAGGUGUGCUUUAAAGGUAUGGAUGAGGACCUCUCGGAUGAUGAUCAAGUACAUUGUAAAGAACCGAACACGUAUUUUGAAGCUUCCGCACUAAACUAAAUCUUGUCUAGACUUUAAUCAUGUUGUAAAUGUUUUGUUAAUCGUGUUUUGAAUCCUUCAAACUAGUUGUUAGUUGACUAGUAAGGAUUAACUUUAAACUUGUUAUGCAUUAACUUAUGUUUGUUUUGGGUACUACAACAAGUAGGUUUGGUCUUUAAACACGAAAGUUUUUGUAAACUCUGAUUAGUAUUUAUUUAAUAUAAAUACUUAGUUAAAUUCCGUCUAAAUAUUAAGGGUGUUACACUACGGGCCUGAAUUCGAGCUUUAGAAACAAAGCUUGAAGGGGGCUCGGCUCAUUUGU